UACGGAGGGGGCUAGCGUUGUUCGGAAUUACUGGGCGUAAAGGGCGCGCAGGCGGCUGCUCAAGUCAGGCGUGAAAGGCCUGGGCUCAACCCGGGAAUUGCGCUUGAGACUGGGCUGGCUUGAGUGCGGGAGAGGAUGGUGGAAUUCCCAGUGUAGAGGUGAAAUUCGUAGAUAGUUGGGAAGAACACCGGUGGCGAAGGCGGCCAUCUGGACCGCAACUGAACGCUGAGGCGCGAAAGCGAGGGGAGCAAACAGG
rnacentral:rRNA from 1 species